UCGGUUGUGCUUUUGUUAACAAUUAAAAUCUUGAAAGGAGGUUUUGCUAGUUGAAAGUUGUAUGAUGCACAAGAGUGUUUGCAUAAAGAAAGGUCUACCGUGUGAAGUUCCGGAGAUUCUCCGAUCUCCUAAUCCGGCAAAGAAGAGCUCUUUGUGAACCACCUUCCUCCUCCUUACUGCCAUGCCAUUUCCUUGUAACAUAUUCUCUCCCGUCAUACUAGAUCCAUUGUCAUUAAUCUACACAGGGCCAUGACAGGAUUCCACUACUUAGCCAUCACGACUGAAAGUAACCAGGGUUUGUGAAGUCACAGCAGUGGCUUCUGCCGAGUAAAGGCGAUGCUUGUCAUUACGGUCACACCAGUUCCUAACACAGCAAUGUAGCACCAUGAACAAAUCAUAAAUGCAGGAUAAGUGCAACCUGCACUUUGGCAGAAAAGAAAAGGAAUAGCAAUGAACACUUUGCCACAAAGGGAACAUAAAGGAAGAUAAAGAAAAGAAAGUGAUGUGGAAAACGCUUGGAGCCGACGAUCAUGAGGAACGAGAACGGCCAAGCAAAAGAGAUCUCAAGCCAGAAGUUCGGUGAGGCCGCUGGGAUUAUGGCCAACUCAAUCGAGUGAUGAUUUUCUGUUCUUCUUUGUUCUAUCUCAUCAAUCUUAACUAUCUUGUCAGCAUGUCUGUCUCAAAUGCUCCCUCUAGCUUGUGCCGAUGGUUAAAUUCAAUUUGCAGAAAUUCCUUAUCAUCCGUCUGGUGGUUCUCUGUCUAGUGUCUCCAUCUGCUCAUGUGUAAGCCGUACUGUUCAAGAAGCUUUACACGAGAAAUUGUGUGCCUUGAUGCAAGUCUACGGUUCUCUAAAGAAAAUGGAUGCAGUCUAAUGAAUUAAAUGGACCCAAAAACUUUUUGAAUUUUGUA